rnacentral:rRNA from 1 species
UCUGGUGCCAGCAGCUGCGGUAAUACCAGCUCCAAUAGCGUAUAUUAAAGUUGUUGCAGUUAAAAAGCUCGUAGUUGGACUUGUGUGCGCUGCCCGCGGGUGGCCUGCGCCCAAAAGGGCGUUUCGGUUCGGCCCCGGUGGCGCCUUGAAAUCUGCAGCUGGGGGGACGUUGGCCUUAACUGGUCGGCGACCGCACGCCGGCUGCUCGGUUACUGUGAGAAAAUUAGAGUGUUCAAGGCAGGCAUUGGGCGCAAUUGAAUACAUUAGCAUGGAAUAAUAAAAUAUGGCUCCUGCCGUAUUUUGUUGGUUUUGACUGGUGGGAGUAAUGAUUGAUAGGGACGGUUGGGGGUGCUAGUAUUGAGCGGCCAGAGGUGAAAUUCAUGGAUUCGCUCAAGACUAACUUAUGCGAAAGCAUUCACCAAGGACGUCCUCUUUAAUCAAGAACGAAAGUUGGGGGAUCGAAGACGAUCAGAUACCGUCGUAGUCUCAACCAUAAACUAUGUCGACUUGGGAUCGGCGGUAGUUUUUUCAUUAAGACACUGUCGGGACCACGGGAGAAAUCAAAGUGUCUGGACUCUGGGGGAAGUAUGGUCGCAAGGCUGAAACUUGAAGGAAUUGACGGAAGGGCACCACCAGGAGUGGAGCCUGCGGCUUAAUUUGACCCAACACGGGGAAACUUACCAGGUCCAGAGAUGUAGAGGAUUGACAGAUUGAAGCUCUUUCUUGAUCACUUCGGUGGUGGUGCAUGGCCGUUCUUAGUUGGUGGAGUGAUUUGUCUGGUUAAUUCCGUUAACGAACGAGACCUCAGCCUGCUAGUGUAGUCGGCUGGAUUGCCUUUGGCGAUCCGUGAUUUCGACUUCUUAGAGGGACAAUCGACGCGCAGUCGAUGGAAGUUUGAGGCAAUAACAGGUCUGUGAUGCCCUUAGAUGUUCUGGGCCGCACGCGCGCUACACUGCUGGGCUCAGCGAGUUUUACUUGGCCGAGAGGCCCGGUUAAUCUUGUGAAAUCCCAGCGUGCUUGGGCUCGCCUCCUGCAACUGGAGGCGCCAACGAGGAAUUCCUAGUAGACGCAGGUCAUCAACCUGCAUCGAUUACGUCCCUGCCCUUUGUACACACCGCCCGUCGUUCCAUAAGAGUGAGGCAUCCGGUGAAUUCUCGGGAGAGCCUGGGCGUGGCCAGCAAUGGUCUGCUCGGGUUUGAACUUGCAUAAACUCGGUGCCUAUGAUUAGGGAAAAGUCGUAACAAGGUUUCCGUAGGUGGACCUGCGGAAG